CCGAAUAGUGGCGGACGGGUGAGUAUCGCGUGGGUAACCUGCCCAUAGGUGGGGAAUAACAGUUGGAAACGACUGCUAAUACCGCAUAAGCUGAGCAAUCAGUAAAGGAGGCUAACGCUUCCGCUUAUGGAUGGGCCCGCGUCUGAUUAGCUGGUUGGUGGGGUAAUGGCCUACCAAGGCAACGAUCAGUAGCCGGCCUGAGAGGGUGGACGGCCACACUGGGACUGAGACACGGCCCACACUCCUACGGGAGGCAGCAGUGGGGAAUAUUGCGCAAUGGGGGAAACCCUGACGCAGCGACGCCGCGUGAGCGAAGAAGGCCUUAGGGUCGUAAAGCUCUGUUUUAAGGGACGAAUAUCUUCAGUAGUAACUGACUGAGGAAUGACGGUACCUUAAGAGAAAGCCCCGGCUAACUACGUGCCAGCAGCCGCGGUAAGACGUAGGGGGCGAGCGUUGUCCGGAAUUACUGGGCGUAAAGAGCACGUAGGCGGGAUUUUAAGUCAGGUGUGAAAGACCGUGGCUCAACCACGGGGUUGCACAUGAAACUGGAAUUCUUGAGGGCAGGAGAGGAAAGUGGAAUUCCUGGUGUAGCGGUGAAAUGCGUAGAAAUCAGGAGGAACACCGGUGGCGAAGGCGACUUUCUGGACUGACCCUGACGCUGAGGUGCGAAAGCGUGGGUAGCAAACAGGAUUAGAUACCCUGGUAGUCCACGCCGUAAAACGAUGAGCAACUAGAUGUAGCCGGAAGUUUUUCUGCUGUGCCGCCAGCUAAACGCAAUAAAGUGCUUCCGCCUGGGGGACUACGCACGCAAAGUGUAAAACUCAAAGGGAAUUGACGGGGGGCCCGCACAAGCGGUGGAGUAUGUGGUUUAAUUCGAGGCAACGCGAAAAAACCUUAUCAGGGCUUGACAUGUUGGUGGUAGGAACCGAAAAGGGGACCGACCCGCAAGGGAGCCUUCACAGGUGCUGCAUGCCUGUCGUCAGCUCGUGUCGUGAGAUGUUGGGUUAAGUCCCGCAACGAGCGCAACCCCUACCCUUAGUUGCCAUCAGUUCGGCUGGGAACUCUAGGGGAACUGCCGGUGACAAACCGGAGGAAGGUGGGGAUGACGUCAAGUCCUCAUGGCCCUUACGCCCUGGGCUACACACGUACUACAAUGGCCGGUACAGAGGGCAGCCACCUGGUGACAGGGAGCAAAUCUCCAAAGCCGGUCUCAGUUCGGAUCGAAGUCUGCAACUCGACUUCGUGAAGUUGGAUUCGCUAGUAAUCGUAUAUCAGCAACGAUACGGUGAAUACGUUCCCGGGCCUUGCACACACCGCCCGUCA
rnacentral:rRNA from 1 species